rnacentral:rRNA from 1 species
AUGGUGCUCAUUCACAGCUCGUCGUCCUUGCGGUGCUUCUUCGCCUUGCCGUCGGCUGCCGCGCCGGUCACUUUGUCCUUCACCUCCCCGACCUUCUCCUUUACCUUCUCGUACCCCUGGUUGGCCUUCCCCUUGGCCGCCUCCGCUGUCUCCCAGGCCGUGUCCUUGGCCGCCUCCGCCGUCCCCCACGCGACGUCCUUAGCCGACGCCGUCUUCUCCAACGUGGCGUCCUUGGCCGCCCCUGCCUUCUGCCCGACAGUGCCCUUGGCCGCCUCAGCGUUCUUCCACGCGGCGUCCUUGGCGGCCGCAGCCUUCUCCGCGGCGGCGUCCUUGACGUUCGCGGCCUUCUCCGAGGCGGCGUCGUUGUAUUGCUUCAGCUUCUCCUGCGCCUGCCAUGUGGCGUCUUUGGUAGACUCCGUCUUCUCCCAGGCCGCAUCCUUCGUGGCGCGGGCCUUCUCUGCGGCGGCGUCCUUCGCUGCCGCUGCCUUCUCCGCGGCCGUCUGCGUGGCGCCGGCGGCGGCGUCCUUGGCUGCUGCUGCCUUCUCCGCGGCUGUCUGCUUGGCGGCCCCGGCCUUCUCCGCGGCGGCGUCCUUCGCUGCCGCUGCCUUCUCCGCUGCCGUCUGCGUGGCGCCGCCGGCGGCAUCCUUGGCUGCGGCUGCCUUCUCCGCGGCCGUCUGCGUGGCGUCUCCGGCCUUCUCCGCGGCGGCGUCCUUGGCUGCUGCUGCCUUCUGCGCUGCCGUCUGCGUGGCGCCGCCUGCUUUCUCCGCCGCGGUGUCCUUGGCUGCUGCUGCCUUCUCCGCAGCCGUGUCCUUGGCGGCGCCGGCCUUCUCGGCGGCCGCGUCCUUUGUUUGCUUCAGCGUCUCGUACCCCUGUCCGGCCUUCUCCUUGGCCGUCUCCUCCACCUUGGCCUUGCCCUGCUUCGACCGCUCGUGCGUCUCGGCGCCCGUCUUGGCGGCCGCCUCCGCGGUCUCCUUAGUCUUGUGCUUAGCCUGCUCCGCCUUCUUGGACGCCUGGCCGGCCGUGCCCUUCACCGUCUCCGCCGUCUUGUCCUUGGCCUGCCCCGCCUUGUUGGCCGCCCCGGUCGCCGCCUGCUCCGCCGCCUCCUUGGCGUCCGAAGCCUUGCUGCUCGCCUGCCUCCCCGUCUCUGCACACACAAAUCAGUGUCAGUCUGUCAGACUCGUGUCUCGAACACCAAGAAAUGAGAAGUUCGACACCGCGGCGUGCGCGUGA